CAUUUGGAACGAGGAAAAAUCCUGGCGUUGAACAAGGUGGAGACUGAGGGCCUCACACAGCAGCUAAUCUACCUGGCUGGGUAAGAUGAGAAAACAUUUAUAAAUUAC